UAAGGCGGUUAAACCACAGUGUGGCCA
rnacentral:piRNA from 1 species